ACCGCAUAAGCCCACGGCUCGGCAUCGAGCAGAGGGAAAAGGAGCAAUCCGCUUUGAGAUGGCCUCGCGUCCGAUUAGCUAGUUGGGGAGGUAACGGCCCACCAAGGCGACGAUCGGUAGCCGGACUGAGAGGUUGAACGGCCACAUUGGGACUGAGACACGGCCCAGACUCCUACGGGAGGCAGCAGUGGGGAAUAUUGCACAAUGGGGGAAACCCUGAUGCAGCGACGCCGCGUGGAGGAAGAAGGUCUUCGGAUUGUAAACUCCUGUUGUUGAGGAAGAUAAUGACGGUACUCAACAAGGAAGUGACGGCUAACUACGUGCCAGCAGCCGCGGUAAAACGUAGGUCACAAGCGUUGUCCGGAAUUACUGGGUGUAAAGGGAGCGCAGGCGGGAAGACAAGUUGGAAGUGAAAUCCAUGGGCUCAACCCAUGAACUGCUUUCAAAACUGUUUUUCUUGAGUAGUGCAGAGGUAGGCGGAAUUCCCGGUGUAGCGGUGGAAUGCGUAGAUAUCGGGAGGAACACCAGUGGCGAAGGCGGCCUACUGGGCACCAACUGACGCUGAGGCUCGAAAGUGUGGGUAGCAAACAGGAUUAGAUACCCUGGUAGUCCACACUGUAAACGAUGAUUACUAGGUGUUGGAGGAUUGACCCCUUCAGUGCCGCAGUUAACACAAUAAGUAAUCCACCUGGGGAGUACGACCGCAAGGUUGAAACUCAAAGGAAUUGACGGGGGCCCGCACAAGCAGUGGAGUAUGUGGUUUAAUUCGACGCAACGCGAAGAACCUUACCAAGUCUUGACAUCCCUUGACGAUGCUGGAAACAGUAUUUCUCUUCGGAGCAAGGAGACAGGUGGUGCAUGGUUGUCGUCAGCUCGUGUCGUGAGAUGUUGGGUUAAGUCCCGCAACGGGCGCAACCCUUAUGGUCAGUUACUACGCAAGAGGACUCUGGCCAGACUGCCGUUGACAAAACGGAGGAAGGUGGGGAUGACGUCAAAUCAUCAUGCCCUUUAUGACUUGGGCUACACACGUACUACAAUGGCGUUAAACAAAGAGAAGCAAGACCGCGAGGUGGAGCAAAACUCAGAAACAACGUCCCAGUUCGGACUGCAGGCUGCAACUCGCCUGCACGAAGUCGGAAUUGCUAGUAAUCGCAGAUCAGCAUGCUGCGGUGAAUACGUUCCCGGGCCUUGUACACACCGCCCGUCACACCAUGAGAGCCGGGGGGACCCGAAGUCGGUAGUCUAACCGCAAGGAGGACGCCGCCGAAGGUAAAACUGGUGAUUGGGGUGAAGUCGUAACAAGGUAGCCGUAGGAGAACCUGCGGCUG
rnacentral:rRNA from 1 species